GUGGUCGCUUGGGCAGCACGUAUGCUUAAAUUGGAAGGAUACAAAGAUUAGCAUGGCCGCUGAGCAAGGAUGACACGCAAAUUGGUGAAGCGUUCCAUAUUUUU